rnacentral:misc_RNA from 1 species
GCUUUUAGACGUUUACGUUUAUUUCUUGGCAUCACUUCAUCUACAUUAAAAAUAACGUGUGCGUAAAAAUUUACCCUUAGUGGGACGCUGCCAACGAUCUGUCAAAGUCGUUAAACGCCAUAAUGAAAGUUGAAAUACGAUCAUCAUCCGGAAUGAGGGGACAAUGCCGGAAUCGUUCGUGAAUAGUCUGAACUUUCCACAAACGACAAAUACGAAAUAGCAAAAAUGUGAUUUUCUUUUUACACAAGUGAAAAGUAAGAGAACGAUAACUUAAUUGUUCUAUAACUCGGCUAUUAUUAUGUGUUUGCUUAGUAUGGCGUAUCCCCAUUAUAUUGUGAAAAACAGACUUGACCAUAAACUUCCCAAUAAUUGCCAAAACAGAAGCUGCAUGGCAUUGUCUUUCAAUUUAAAUUUCAAUAUAAAACUUUAAAACCCAAAUGAAAACCCUUGGGGGCUCUUUUCAAAUCAAAUAAUUUCUAAUGUAAUAUCCUAAAAUUAUUGUUGUAAAUAUUCAUAGUAUUGUAUAUUGUUAGUAAUUGAAUUAUAUAGUAACUAUUGAAUGGAGCGAUCUAGAAAUUCACCAGGCCUCAGCAUGAGCAUUUCUCCAGAACCCUACCGAAGAAGAUCUAAGUCAAAAUCACCUCAUUAUCACAAUAGGAAUGAAAAUAGAAGACACAAUGGACACACAAAUCAUGCCAAAAGAUAUCGCAGACGAGAACACAGAGAAGACCGGUCAAGACAUGGUUCCGAUUAUGACAGUGACUGGGAAAGAGAAACCUACGAUUUAGAAAAAAGAAGUCAUUCAAGAAGCCCGAUACAUGAGUAUCGAGAAAGAGACCGAGAUAGACGACACUACCACAGAGGUCGAGAACGAGAAAGAGAUCGAGAUUAUCAUAGAUACCGGAGAAGAUCAAGGAGUAAUGAUUCAAGGUGGGAGAGGGAAGAAAGAAAAUCUGAUAGAUAUCGAGAUGACGAUAGCGACAGUGAAAGAAGUCCUGGUGGAGGUAUUAUUGGCGCUAGCGGUUCAGAAAUCAUUGGAUACAAAAGUCAACCUCCAAACAAUACCAUUAUGAUUAGAGGAUUAGCUCAACAUAUCACAGAGAAUGAUAUAAGACAAGAUAUUAUUCAAGGAGGGCUAAUGCCAAAGGACAUUCGGUUAAUUCGGAAAAAAGACACAGGUGCCUCGCGCGGUUUUGCCUUUGUGGAGUUCUCGACACUACAUGAGGCAGUUCGAUGGAUGGAGACGAAACAGGGGAUAUUAAUGCUACAAGACAACUAUAGAGCUAUAAUGCAAUACAGCAUACCGAAAGACGCCCCUUCGGAAAAGCCCGCAACUAACAAGGCUGCUGCAGAUUGGUUUUGCAUCAAGUGUGGGGCUCAGAAUUUCAAGAGAAGAGAAAACUGUUUUAAAUGUCAUGCCUCAAGAAAUGAAUCUGAGGAAGGAGGCAGUGGAAGCGAUGAAACUUGUUCAUAUACUACCAAAACACUCAUGCUUAGAAAUCUUGACGCGUUAACAACUGAAGAUGCUGUCAUUGCAGUACUGAAUAGCACAAUACCAGACUUGGUAAAAUUAAUAUCGGCUGUAUGCAUUGGACGAGACCCUUUAACAUCUACGUCAAGGGGUAUUUGUUAUUUGGGUACCGAAAGUACUGUUGAUGCGCUAGCAAUAUUUGGCGCCUUAAGUGGAUUGGCUCAACCUAUGUCCAUCGAGGGAAAGACAGCAAUUAUAUCGUACUGUAAAUACAAUAUGGGUGACACCAGAAAGGCAUAUUCACAAGUAGAUCAUGCUGCAUUUCCCAAUGCCUCCAUCCCACAAACUUAUGCAUUAGCGGACGUGGAUAGCUUAGCUGAGUAUUCUGCCACAAGAUACGCCAAAACUCCAGAUGAAUAUACCCAUUAUUAUAAUUACUACAGACAGUUCUUUACCCAGCAAAUUAAUGAAGGCAAUUCAAUCACCCUUCAUAACGAAAAUCAAAUGGAUGCGGCAAAUGCCGCAGCUGCAGUCGCGCAAGCUGCAAUUCAGCAGAUGCAAGCUACUAAAACUUACUAUGAACCCAGCCAGAUGCAGAUGCCAACCGGAACUGACGGCAAAAGAUAUGCUGUGCCUGAUAUUUCGUCCUACAUCUAUGAUAAAUCAACUGGCUUUCAAUAUGAUCCGUCUACAGGUCUUUAUUAUGAUUCUAAAUCCACUUACUACUGGAAUAGCGUAAUUCAAAAAUAUCUCUUUUGGGACCAUGAAAAAUUCACUUACGCCCUUGCUCCAACUUACAAUAAUACAAGUUCAGUUAACGCUGCCUCUAACACUUUAAGCACAAAUGAGGAAGAAAAAAACAAAAAUUCUAAUAACGCUAAAGUUCCAGGAGAGAAACAUGAUAAAGUUAAAGUAGCGAAAAAAAUUGCGAAGGAUAUGGAACGAUGGGCUAAGACGUUAAAUCAGAAAAAGGAUUUUAUAGCAGUCAAAAAUGUAUCUGAUAACAAUUAUAUAUCUACUAGCGCAAGUGCUGAUAUUGGUUUCUCAGUGCUCGAGAAAAAAACAGUAGUUUCUCCUAAUCCUGCUUUAAAGACCGAUAUUGAUGUUCCUGAACCAGCUGUAGGACCAUUGGUGGCGUCUUAUGGAGAUAGUGAAUCAUCAGGUGAAGAUGAUGAGGAAUCACUGCUGGAUUUCACAAAAUUAAUCUGCAAUCUUUGCAAGCGUCAACUGGGCUCAGCUGAAGCCCUUCAAAAGCAUGCCAAGAUGUCCUCUUUACACAAGCAAAAUUUAGAAGCGAAAAGAUCGAAGAAAGCUGCUGAAUCUGCAUCACAACCUAAUAAAACUGUGUACAGAGAUAGGGCCAAAGAGAGAAGGAUGAAAUUUGGAGACCCCGAUGAAGCUCAGCCAAGUAAAUUAAAGGAAAAAUACUUAAAAACUUUAAAUAGCGAACCUCCCGUUCCGUCAGCUUCUGUGUUAGAACCUAUUGGGUCUGAAAAUGUUGGAAAUCGGUUAUUACAAAAAAUGGGAUGGACAGAAGGACAAGGCCUCGGCAAAACUAAUCAGGGAAGAACCACUAUCAUCCAGAGUUUUAUGGAGACAAGCAUGUAUGUGCAUUCACCGGGUCAUAUUUAACCAUUUGAAGCAAUGAUUCCAUCCAUUCAAGAUUCCAAGAACCAUUUUUUUGCCUCUAGCUUGUAUAGUUUUAAGGCAGAUUUAUGCCGAGUUGUCUACAUGUCAAGGUUUUAUACUCAAAAAGUCGUCAAAGCCAAACCCAAAUUUCGGAAUUCACCAGAGAUCAAACAAACGUUGAUAAUGUGAGUUAAAAUAAAAAGUCAUCUACCGUGGAGGAAUAAAUACUUAUGAUGAAAAAAUCAUAAACAGCAUUCACGUCACAAAGAUUAAGGCUGGGUAACGCUGCCUAUUCUGCACCAAUUUUAGAUAAUUGUAAAGUUUUCCAUUGUUUGUUUAAUACCCGUAGACUUGGAUUUAUAUUCUAAUAAAGUAUUUUUUUAUAUUUAUAA